AUGCUGAAGCCUACGUCGACGACAUUGUGGUUAAAAUCUCGGGAGGCUAGGACCCUCAUUCAGGAUCUGGAGGAGACUUUUGCCAGCCUGCACAAGGUAGAUUUGCGGCUCAACCCAGAGAAAUGCGUGUUCGGCGUCCCCUCCGACAAGCUGCUGGGUUUCCUUAUGUCGCACAGGGGGAUCGAGACGAACCCAGAGAAGGUCAAAGCAAUAGAAGACAUGAGCCCACCACAGACUCUCAAGGAAAUGCAAAAGUUCGCGGGCCGUGUGACCUCACUGGGGCGCUUCAUCUCCAAGCUGGGGGAGCGCGCCCUCCCGGUCUUCAAACUGAUGAAGAAGGGCCCGUUUGAGUGGACUCCGGAGGCCAACACGGCAUUUCAAGACCUCAAAAGGCAUGACCAGCCCACCAGUGAUGGUGGCGCCGCGUCCCCUCGAGCCCCUGGUGCUUUAUCUGGCUGCCAUGCCUCAUUCCGCUAG
rnacentral:rRNA from 1 species